GUAUUUAUUAACUUUUUUUGCUGCAGCAAUUGUUUCCUAACCCCCUUUUUUUGUUAAGGUUAUCUCUCUUUUCUUAUCUUAAAAUAACAUGUAGCCUAUGUUUUUAAGUUUUCUUUUACUGAUUAUGCUUAUGUAUGAUGUUGACUGUUUUGUAAUCCUGCUUUGGGUUCCGGGGAAUGGUUGAGUUUUGUAUAUUUGUGUAUGUACAUGUUUUGUACAGUUGUUUUGUUUAUCUUGUUGUAAUCUUUUUUUCGUGUGUGUGUGUUUUAGAACCACCUUGAAAGUUAUAACUAAAUUAUGUAAGCGCUCAUAUGCUGUCGACCAAUCAGACAACAGGGCGGGAAAAGGUUCAAGGUCAAGGCGCGAAAAAAAGGCUCAAACUCCUAGGAGCAGAUAUAGGAGUGGGGAAAAACACGGGGAAAGUUAUCAUUUUGUGCCGAAGAAUAUUUCAGUAUUUUGGACAAUGGAGAGAUGUCACUGAGUCAGCUCAUGGACAAGAGCUUCAUGUUUCCGUAGCUGAGACAGCACUCCCCUCAGAUCUUUGGCAAUGUCAUCAGGAAUGCUUUUGUGCCUCUCCUGGUACAAGAUACGUGACAUAUUCUGUGUUUCUCGGAUGAAGCGGCUCUCAGGAUGAUUACUUUUGAUGAGUUUGUCAGCCAGCUCUUCACAGGUGUGCAUCCUCUCCAGUCCCACCUCCAGCUGCUUUAAGAAUACCUCAAAUCUCCCACACAGUUGCUGUCAUGAAACAAGAGGGCUUCUAUGUCCCUCUCAGCUUGGGCCUGUCUGUGUUCCUCAGCCUUCAGGGCUGAUGGUGAGCUCCCCACAUCAGGUGUGUCAAGCUGGACUAACUUAUCCUGGAGCUGAGCCUGGACUUCUUGGCAAGUCUGCAGGAACGAUUUCACAUCAGCAGAGCUAAGCAACUCAUGAGCCAUCUCAUCCUUUAGUUUCUGAAUGUGUUCCCAUCUGGACAUGCAAAGAAACAAUUUAAGUACACAAAAGCAUGGUUGGAUGGCUGCGCAAUGCUAAUUUUGGCCUUCAUACCUGCGGGUUACGAUUCCAAGCCUAAGCUGAACCUCUUUUUUCUGACUGAGCUGUUUUUUCACAAGCUCCUCUCCAAGCUUGGUAAUAUCAUCAAGCUGCUUUCUACCACUGGCUAGUUCAGUGAGAAAAUUCUGUGUAUAAUAUUGAGAAAGAAGUUAAUGUUUUUAAAUCAAAAUACCACCAUGUUAUCCAAAGAACACAAGUAAAUCUAAUUGAGUUACUUCUCCAAGCAACUUUAAGGCUUUGAAUGUUGUAAAGAAUUCAUGAUGACUUGUGUUAUUCUGCUAGGCAUGUGUUUUCAGGGUGAACUGACCUCAUACUUGGCUUGUACAACCUCUAAGUUGUUGGAGUUGGAGUUAAAAGUGUUGAGGACAUUUUCCUUGUCUCUCAUCCAGGACUCAAAUUCCUCACAGGCAUUACAGAACCUAUGUAGUCGAGCAGUGUCAUCCAGUGCCUUAUUUUUUGACUGAUUGGAGAAAAUGCUAUUUAAAUGCCUGAACAUUUUUUUAACCAUCAAAAAUGGUAAAAGAGUAAAGGUAAAACAUGAAUAUUCACCUGUGCUAAAUUAUAAAGGCUGUUGAAAUCC